rnacentral:tRNA from 1 species
GGCGGGGUAGCUCAGGUGGUCAGAGCGCACGACUCAUAAUCGUGAGGUCGCGGGUUCGAACCCCGCCCCCGCUA